GAUGAAGAACGUAGUGAAAUGCGAUAAGUAAUGUGAAUUGCAGAAUUCAGUGAAUCAUCGAAUCUUUGAACGCACAUUGCGCCCCCUGGUAUUCCGGGGGGCAUGCCUGUUCGAGCGUCAUUUCAACCCUCAAGCUCUGCUUGGUAUUGGGCGUCGCCGGGGAGUCUCCCCGGCGUGCCUCAAAGCCAUCGGCGGUGGUGCCUUUCUCUAAGCGUGGUAGAAUUUUUAUUCGCUUCUGAGUUGGGCUUCGCCUGCCGGACAAACCGGGCCCUCGCGGCCCACCUUCUCAGGUUGACCUCGGAUCAGGUAGGGAUACCCGCUGAACUUAAGCAUAUCAAUAAGCGGAGGA
rnacentral:misc_RNA from 1 species